rnacentral:rRNA from 1 species
GGAACCCUGAUGCAGCAACGCCGCGUGAGUGAUGACGGCCUUCGGGUUGUAAAACUCUGUCUUUGGGGACGAUAAUGACGGUACCCAAGGAGGAAGCCACGGCUAACUACGUGCCAGCAGCCGCGGUAAUACGUAGGUGGCAAGCGUUGUCCGGAUUUACUGGGCGUAAAGGGAGCGUAGGUGGAUAUUUAAGUGGGAUGUGAAAUACUCGGGCUUAACCUGGGUGCUGCAUUCCAAACUGGAUAUCUAGAGUGCAGGAGAGGAAAGGAGAAUUCCUAGUGUAGCGGUGAAAUGCGUAGAGAUUAGGGAGGAUACCAGUGGCGAAGGCGCCUUUCUGUACUGUAACUGACACUGAGGGUCUAAAGCGUGGGGAGCAAACAGGAUUAGAUACCCUGGUAGUCCACGCCGUAAACGAUGAUACUAGGUGUAGGGGUUGUGCAUGACCUCUGUGCCGCCGCUUAACGCGAUUAAGUAUUUCCGCCUGGGGAGUACGGUCGCAAGAUUAAAACUCAAAGGAAUUGACGGGGGCCCGCACAAGCAGCGGAGCAUGUGGUUUAAUUCGAAGCAACGCAAGAACCUUACCUAGACUUGACAUCCCCUGAAUUACUCUGUAAUGGAGGAAGCCACUUCGGUGGCAGGAAGACAGGUGGUGCAUGGUUGUCGUCAGCUCGUGUCG